AAUGAAAAGAGAGGAAGCCACAGUGGGUAAGGUAUUUCUGGUCCCCCAAUUGUAUAAUUAUGAUGACACAUAAGAAUCUGAAAGUUCUGGAUGGCGGGCAGAUUACCUCUGUAGGUGAUUUCCAAAGAAAAGUUCUUGAAAUGCUUUGAGUUUUGGCAGUGUUGGAGCAAAUGUGUCAUUUCCCCCUCCCCAUCCCCACCGCAGAGGGGCAGCAGUUUUGAAUGUUUACCUAGGUCUCUUAAAUUCAGGAUUGUGAACUUUGUAGCCUAGCCUUGGUCUUGGACAAAGGUAGGCUGGAAGCACUACCUAGUAUUAGCUCGGUAGCUGUGGACAAGUCAUUGAACCUCGGCAAGCUCACUUUCUUCAUUGGGUAAAUGCAAAUACUGAAAAUACCUGCCACAUAGCAUUUUUUUUUCCUUCCCAUUUUUGACCACAUCCGUGGGAUGCAGAAAUUUCCCAGCUAGGGGUCCAAUCGGAGCUACAGCCUAUGCCAGAGCCACAGCAACACCAGAUCUGAGCAGCAUCUGUGACCUACACCACAGCUCAUGGCAGUGCCUGAUCCUUAGCCCACUGAGCAAGGCCAGGGAUUGAACCUGUGUCCUCAUGGAUACUAGUCAGAUUCGUUUUCGCUGAGCCACAAGGAGAACUCCGGAUUUGCGGUCUUGUGUUGCCUUGUAAGAUGAAGCCCACAGACAGAGUUCUACCUAGCGCAUGAGAAAUUGUCAGUAGAUAGUGGCCACCAUGUUUAUUAUGGAUUCAGGUGGGGUGAUGUCAUUUAGUAUAAGCAGAAGUGUUCAACCCACUGUCGAGUCACCAUCCUCCAAGCACUGCAAGAGGUGUGUGGGGGGUGACAGCCCUGGAAAAUUCCACAUUGUUUCACUUGCACAGCUCUCUGGCUAGAUUGUAAGCUCCUAACUCUGGAUCCUUGGGGAUUUGGCGCAUGCCGGGCUGUGGGCUUCAUUUACCUGUGUAUCCCCAGAACCAAGCGUGCAGCCUGAUGCAAAGUGGGCCCUUGGCGAAUGAAUGAACAGAUGGGCAUUCAACAAGCUCUUGCUGAUGAAUUGACUAAUAGCCCACACUGGUUACAGCUGUAUUUUGGGCACUGAGUCUCUUUCUUGUCUGUGGCUUCUUGAGCACUGAGGGUAUUUAAUUACCUCUUGAAGCUGAGGUUGACCUUUCAGGACACCUUCACCAGGACGAGACAGAUGCCCAUCCAGGUCUGGGCGGGGCAGGGUGUGAGUGCCCGGGGGGGCCUGCGGAGGUGGCCUCUCCCCUCUCCACUGGCCUGUGGCUUGGCCCGGGGUCCCGAAGUGUCUCAUGCCCAGCUUCCCCAAAAGAAAGGAUGUUUUGUGUGCUCUGUAUGUCAGUGUCAGAAAGCAGUGUCUCUCCCAGUCUUUGCCUGUGUUUGAUAGAGUGACAAAUUUGUCAUUUUCUCCCCCCUUCUCACUGCCCCCCCAUCUCCUUCUUUCAUUCCUUGUGUGAAGGGGCCUCUGUCAGGCCAACCACAGCUAUGGUGAGAGAAGCCAAGUUCCUCAUCACACUUGCUGAACAAAAUUACCGCAAAUUUGGGCAGAGAAGACAAUUUUAGCUCAUAUGCAAACAUCCUGUCAGGGAACAGAGGGAUGACAGUUUUUGUUGCACACGGAGAGUGAGGGCACAGAGAUGAAUUGAGGCAUCUGUUUAGGCCAGUGAACCUGUAAGUGUGCACUUCGGUUGCUGCAUGAGCUGGCUUGCGGCCUCCUCCCCUAAAGAAGGCCCCUUGGAACCCAAACUCAGUUGGCCCAAAUGCCUCCGUGGGCCUCUGGAUUUACUUGUUACCUCCAUUGGGUCUGAUUGUAUUGUUUUGCAUUGUAUUAUAUUUUUUGCCUUUUUGUAUUUUCUAGGGCUGCACCUGCAGCAUGUGGAGAUUCCCAGGCUAGGGGUCUGAUUGGAGCUGUAGCCGCUGGCCUACACCACAGCCACAGCCACGCUGGAUCUGAGCCUCAUCUGUGACCUACACCACAGCUCAGGGCAAUACUGGAUCCUUAACCCACUGAGCGAGGCCAGGGAUCGAACCCGAAACCUCAAGGUUCCUAGUCGGAUUCAUUAACCACUGAGCCACGACGGCAACUCCAUGUAUUGUAUUUUUAUUUAUUUUAAGUUUUGGCUGCCCUGCGGCAUAUGGAGUCCAGGGAUCAGUUGUAGUUGCGUCCUAAGCUGCAGCUGCAGCAACACCAGAUCCUUAACCUUCUGCACUGGGCUGGGGAUUGAACCUGCAUCUUGGUGCUCCAAGGACACUGCUGAUUCUGUUGUGCCACAGUGGGAACUAUAGGAUCAAUUUUAGACAAAAGCAGCAAUUGGGGGUCUGAUCGGCUCUGAGUUCUUUGAGGAGGCACCGGUCAGUUCCAAUCAACCAGAAUUUAUUGGGCACCUGGGAAGUUUUAAACCCUGUCCUGUGACGGGGAAAGGUUGGGGCAGGGGUGUUGCCGUUUCUUGAGCUGGCCGCCUUGCAUCUGGUAAAAUUCUCACAGUGACCCUGAAGGACAGGUGCUGUUCAGGAGCUGAGACUCAGAGAGGAUCAGUCAUCACGCUAGGAUCCCACAGACAUCUCAGGAGGUAGAAGACACAGACCUUGCGAACUUCUAGUCCUACCAUGAGGGAGAGAGUUCCAGAGCCUUUGUAAUUUAUUCCCGCAAUAAAUGAUUAUUGUAUGCCUCUGCCUGGCACAGGGGAUUCCGAAAUGAAUCAGCCCCAGCUCUACCUUCCUGGGAGCAAACAGUCUCUAGAGAACUCUUGACUUUUGGUAUUUUGUUUGGGGCUGGGAGCUGUGGCAGGAAAGUGUGUCAGGCAUGGCGAGGGGUUAGGGCUUCCCAAGAUUGUCACAUUUGAUGCAUGCCUUGAAGGAUGAGAAGGAGCCUGUCCAUCUGCUAUUUUUAAAAUUAAGCUUUCAGGAGUUCCCUGGUGGCCUAGUGGUUAAGGAUCCCGUGUUGUCACUGUGGUGGCUUGGGUCACUCAUGAGGUGUGGGUUUGAUUCCUGGCCUGGAAACUUUUGCAUUCUAUAUGUACAGCAAAAAAAAAAAAAAAAAAAAAAAAAAAAAAAAA
rnacentral:lncRNA from 1 species